AGAGUGGACAUGAGAUGGGGAGGGAGGCCAUUGGUGGUAUGGUAGUGAGGUGGGAGUUCAGGCAAGUCAUCAUGUGGAAGAUGGAGUUCCACAAAUUCAAUGCAAUGAGAAUAUUUUUGGGAGAGUUUAGGCUUGAUGGAGCUGAGAUUUACAGGCGUGGAACAAAUAAAGAUGUGAAAAUUUCUCUUGGUGGUCAGCUUCUUGGCUAGCUCUAGGUAGGGAGAUAUAUGGCCGUGAGCUAGCCAUGGAAGCAUAAGAAUAGUAAGUUUUCUUUGGUCAGAGUAAACCAUAUUUUGUUUUCCUUUCACUCUUUUGCUUGAGGUUGCUCGAUUAUAGGCUUAUUGGUAGUUUUUUUGUAGCUAGCUCUAUGCAUAUAUAUAUAUAUAUACACACACAUUCAUGGGAAAAGAGGCUUGGGGAUGGGAAAUCAAUUGAUUUCCUAUGUUUGGUAAAGUUCGGGUAUGAGAAAUCGUUGCUUUGCACAUGAGAAAGUAGAGGGGAAAGUGAAGCCCUCCUCCUUCCUUAGGUUUUGUUUUCCUCCUCAUGGGAAAGUUUGGGAAAAUGAGCUAAUAUUAAAUACAUAUUUUUCAUGACCAUAUUAUCCCCAUUAAUAAUUUAGAAUUACAUAAAUGCAUUCUAUUUUUAUUUGAUUUCAUAUGGGUAUAAUUGAAAAAUUAAACAAAUUUUGUUUUACAUUCCUACACAAACCAAACAUGUGAAAGGAAAUAAAGUGGUAUUUCUUGGUUACUUUCCCAAGAUUACCAAACAUAGGAAAGGAAUCUCUAUUUCCCAUCCCUUAGAAAAUGACUUGGAAAGUAAUUUCUCCUCAAAUUCGUUCCGUGAACCAAACGGAACCUGCAUAAUAGAAGUUCCAAAAAAACACGUGAUGAUUGGAUCAUGCAUAUGUAAGUUCCCGAGUGAUGAUUGGAACAAGUUCCUAAUGAUAAAGACUCGAAACAAGAAUAGUUUAAACUUUCUUCUUUGUUUGGCUUGAUAUAAGACGAAUGCACCAAACAAACCGACUAAUUGCUGGCACAAUAUAAAUUGGGGCUACAAUUACCUAAUAAUUAGGUACUAAGGGCUACAAUUACCUAAUAAUAUCAACUUUCAUUAUACAGAUUUGAGAAACAAAAAGUUCAACUUUGAUGACAAGCGAUAUUAAAGGAGGGCGUAAUCAAACUUAGGAUCUUGAGUGUAGAAAUAAAUACUUUUAACAACUUGAGCUACAAGCCUUUUGUAAUAUUAAUGAUAUUUUAAUUAUACGUUUGAAUAGUUCGCUUCCUUCUCUUUUAUUUUCAUUUGUUUAUAUUUAACUCUAAUUUUAUUUAUAUUUUUGGUCAAGGUAAAAAGACUUUGAAUCUCUCUCCAAUGAUUUUCACAGCCGAAACUCCUUUAGUUUCCACAAAUAUUUUUUAAUAUUUCAUGCAUUUGUAAGUUUCCGACUCGGAUGGUUCAUGUAACCAAGAAGUUUAAACUUGUUUUUGCUUGUUCCGCCGACGAAAGCGCAACAAAAGGACAAACUACAACCAAUACUUCUAGUAUCACCAGUUCUCAUUGAAUUUGUUGCCGUGAAUGUUUAGGAUUCUGCCCAAACUAGUAUUUGCGUUUCUGAAUUGUUUGAAAACACAUAUGAAAUUAUGAUUUCUCCUCCCCAGAAGACAAAUUGACGAAGAAGUAUCAUGAUUUUGAUGACACAAAUUAGAAUCCAGGGUUUUCGAAGUGCCUAAUGGACAACUAUUAAUUUAGAAAUAUAUAUAUUUUUUUCGCAAUGCAGAAACACAUAAAUCCCAAGUUUGAAUUCAUCCUAUUUUUGUUUUUGUUUUUUCCUUUUUUAACCCAGAAGAAAAAUUGAGUGCCACUCUGCUAUGUAGAAUGCAAGUUUUAGUUUAGAUUUUUUUUUCUUUUUAGUCUCUUAUUCUACAUUUAGAUCUCAUAUAUUUACUCGCAUUUUAUUAAAUCUAAGUCAUUCAAACAAUCUGACCACUUAACAAAUUACAAGUACUCAAACUUAAAAUCAGAUUGGAUGGACAUGAGGCUUACACUGAUGAUUCUACACGUGCUGAGAAUAGUCCUUUUAUUUCUUUAUUAUUUUCUUGGUCGGGACUCGAGAGACAGGUGUAGUGUAGCGAUGGAGACGAGGCCCGCAAGACAUAAAAGUCUGAAGAAGAGAAGCGUGAAAGCUUCAUUUAGACAGUUAAGUGCAUACGUAACGUAAAGAUUCAAAGACUAUGUCCCUCUCCAAACAGGGAAAGAUCUGAGUUGAAAGCAACAAACUACAGUCACAAUAGGAAAGCAUCUACAACGUAAAGAAAAUAAGUUUACCAGAAGCAUCGGAAAGAUCUAGAGUCUGAAGAAGAGAUACUGAAGUAAUUGUUCAUCGACUGAGCUUAAAUGAAAUAUUAACUCUUUGUUGUGCCAUAAGCACAAGAUCUUAAGAAAAAAAUUCAAGAUAAACCAUAUAAUAUUUUCUAACCCACAAAAUAAUAUAGAAAAUAAAUGCAAGAACAAGAGAAUAGCAAGACACAACGAGGCUGCUUACAAUCAGUGUAAAUGAGCAAACAAAUUCACCAUCAACAAAUUAGCAUGCUUAUGAAGUGUUUUGCAACCUCACAAACCAAGGCGCCAUAUACACCAAAUGACUCUCACUGAAAAACUAAACAAAGAAACACACUCACACUAAUGAAAGCAACGUUACAAGGUAGGAGAUUGAAUAUUACAUUUACAAUACACUCAUAAGUUACAAAAACUAAUUACAAAUAUUUAGCGCAUAGGUUACAUAGAACUGAAAGGGUGGAAUGAUAAGAGCUAUGGUGGUCAUCCACCAACUCAUGCAUUUACAACACCGCCUCUUGAAUGUCCACCAUACAAUACAAUGAUAUAGUUGCGUCAUUAAACACUUUGCUUGAAAAACUAUAUGGGACAAAACUUAGGCUACGGGAAAAAGAGUGCAACACAAAUAAUAUUGAUAUCACAUUUGUCUCUCCUACGGAAUGAGCUUUGGUGAUGUUUGUAUAAAAAUUGCGUACAAACCAUUAUUGGAAGAUUGGGCUAGAGUGGGCUUUACCCUAGUGUUGACUUUGGAAAGAGACAAAUUAGGCUUAGUUGUGUAAAUUCAAUCCAAAAAAAAAUUAAAUAAUAGCCCACAUCUACAGCCAAAUACUUUAAUACUUUAAUUACUAAAGUUUUUUUUUCUUUCUCUCUCUUCUUUGGUUUAUUCAGCUUUUGAUUUGGCUCAAAUAAUGUUUAUAUCUCUCUUUGAUUUUGUUUUUUCAAAUUUAUUGAUGUUGCUUCUUUUGAAAAUUUUGAAAUAUGGACCCUCCCUAACUAAACCACUCCAUUGAGCAAAAGCCCUUGAGCUUCAAAUUUAUCUUCGUCUGAGCCUCUGAAUUUUGGUUUUUUUUAGGUUUUUUUUGUUUGUUGUAGGUUUCUUUGUUCACAUAUCUCUCUAAAAAUAGUAUUUUUCUUAAUGAAUUCUGAAAAUAGUUUUUAAUUUGAAGGAAAUAUACGGAAUUAGUAAAAAAGUAUACCACUUUCAUUAAUCUGAAGGAAAUAUUGCUUUAUAUAUAUUUGUUUAAAAAUAGGGCUUAUAAUUGAUCUCAAAAAAAAAAAAAAAACAAAUAGCCCACCCCUGUAAAUAUUCCUUAGUCCGCCAUUGCAUGGCAUAAUAUUUGGUAUGCUAUGCUAGCAUCUCAUAAGCUCUUCAAGAGACCUGAAUUUUAUGAUAACUUCUUAAAAAAUUUGAAUACAUUUCAACGAUAUUAAACUUGAAUUUGAACUCAUAAUUCAAUCAAAGUACUCAUUGAGGCAAUUUAGAUCAUUUUCAUUUUAAAAAAAUUGGGUGCACACAUUGAGCUUCAUGCUCUUUACCUUCUUAGAGAUUUUAUUUGAGGAAUUUAUAUUGCAUCACAUAUUACAUCUCUUAGGAUUUGUUCUUAUUAUGUAUUCUUUAAGAGAUCUAUUCUUGCAAUAUGCUUCAAACACUUCAUAAUCUUUAUGAAUUUUUCAUGUAGAUUUAAGGUCUCCAUGAAUAUUGAGAUUGAAACAAGGAGUAAAAGAGUUAAAAGUUUAAGAAAUUUUUUCCCUGAUUAUUUUGUAAUUAUAAUGUUGGUGAAAAUCCAAUUUCCUUUCUAGAAUUUGUGAAAUUUGUUAUUUGGCUAAGCUAAAAGUAUAAUUUUGACAAUAAAAAGCAUAUGAAAGUUUCUCUUUGGUUGGCUUCUUGGCUAGCUCUAGGAACGGACAGUGUGGCCAUGAGAUAACCAUGGAAGUAUAAUAAGAAUGCUUGGAUGCUGUGAACAAUCCAUUUUCUGACUCUUUUUCUUGAGGUGGUUGUUUUCUUAUGGCCCAUCAGAGUUUAUGGUCGACAGAUAAGCUUCAAACACAUGCAUUGGUCGUGUCAGUUGCGAUAAACUCUUCCCAACAAUCAACAAUUUCUAAGGUAAUAUCAUCAUUCAAUCAUGUGCUGAAUUUAGAAUUGUUUUCAAAUCAAGGAUUUGUUUUGGAACUCAGAUUUUAAAACAAUUAAAAUUUAAUUGGGAAGACUUUUUGUUUAAAGGAAGUUCGUUUCAAUUCAAAAAAUAAUUUUUCAGUUUUUCAACUCAAAAGUCUUCUCAGUUUUCUUAUUUUUCUUAUUGGCGAGUUUCUUGGUUAACUCUAGGAAGGGAGAUAUGUGGCCAUGAGCUAACCAUGGAAGCAUAAGAACGCUGACCAUGCUUGGAUUUUGAGAAGACUUCCUCUUUUUUUUUUCCCUGACUCUUCUUCUUGAGGCGGUGGUUGGCUUAUGGCCUCAUAAUAGUUUGGUGUUUUUGGAGAUCAUAUGGUGAUGAUCUGAUGGAGAUGAGUCAUAGUUUGUGCUAGUGCAUACGUAAUUCCAAUUUCCUGAUUCAGAUGGGAUAAACUCUUCCAACAAAUUAAGACUCUUAUCAUGCAUACACAUAAGAAGUGGAAAUUUGCUUCUGUCUUAGUUUGGCCUUGAUAUAGGACAGCUCAUAGGAAAGCAUCCAAAACAAUAUUCUUUUUAUUUUUUUUAUUUGAAUACAAGCGAUAUUAGGAGUGUGGGGAUUUGAACACAUGAUUUAGGGUACAGGGUAAUGCUCUUAACUAUAUGAGUUACAAGUCCCUUGCAAACAGUCUGAAAUACUAAAAAUAAAAAAUAGAUGCUCAUCCAUAUGCACUGUCAUGCCCCAACCCUUGGAUUUACAAAACCUUGUGUUAAGACGUGAUUCACACCUUAAUUAUAGAAUUUAAUAAAAACUAUAACUAAAAUGUGAAGAAAACAUUUAAAUAAAUAAAAUAAAUAUUUCACAUAGAAUAUUCAGUGGAAAUGACAACAUGUGAAAUCUUAAAAAUUUUACAUUAUCUUACAAGUUGGCGUGACUUGUGGAUAUUGACUUACUUUCCUUACACACCAAGAAUUCCUAUUAUAAUUGUAAUUGAUUUACUUUAAUUCAUGAUUUCCUACUGUAAAUAGAUUUAAGAAUUUAUUAUUUACUUGCCCAUUCAGGUUUCGUUGUAUUAUAAAUAUGACCUCCUACAAGGAGAAGAACAUACAGAAAAUUCCCACAAACAAAUAUUCUCUCAUAGUUUUCAUAUUUUAGCAUGGUAUCAGAGCGGCAAUCUUGGAAUUGCUGACUCUAGUUUCAAACCCCCGCCGCCGCUAUGGGGGUUGAUGAUUUUUUCAACCAUCAUGGAGGUAGCACCAUCGACUCCUUCUCUCAUUCUCAACUAACCAUCGUUGAGUUGAGUGCCCAGAUGGCUCCGCUCCUACAGAUGCAGACUUUGACCCCAAACCCGAUCCAGAAUCAGGAUCUUCUUUCGACAACCACGACCCCGAUCUCGACUAUGACAACGACGACCCCGACCCCUACUCUGAAGAUGACCCCGACCCCCACUCCGAUGACCCCAACCCCGAAUUUGUCUCUGAUUCAGAACCCGAUCCCGAUUUCGACUCCGACUCCGGCCUCGACUCAGGCUCAGAUUUCGAUCCAAAUUCCUACUCAACUUAUAUCCUAUGCAUCUUCCGCUGCACAGAUUAUGACUUCUAGACUAACGACCCCGACAUAUGGACCAGAUUGCACAUAUUGUGGUGAUCCGAGACACACUUGUGAGACUUGUUUUAAAUCGCAUGGCUACCCCGAUUGGUGGGCUAUUCUUACAGAUCAAGGACAAUGCACCAGUAAUGGUACUGGUUAUGGAUUCCAUACUUCCGAUAAGAUUGAUUCCAGGAGCUGGAUAAUUGAUUCUGGUGCAACUGAUCAUAUGACGUUUGAUCCUGAUGAUUUUCUGAAUACUACACAACCUCGACGAACUUGUAUUGCAAAUGCCAAUGGUGUUACUUAUCCUGUGACAGGGGCUGGCACUGUUGCACUCUCAUCCUCUCUCACACUGUCUAAUACUUUACUUGUUCCAUUUUUAUCCACUAAAUUGUUGUUAGUUAGUCAGCUUACUAAACAAUUGAAGUGUUGUGUACUCAUUUACCUGAGUUUUUGUUUGCUUCAGGAUAUUCACACUAAGGAGAUUCUUGGUCGUGGUACUAAGAGAGGGGGGCUAUAUUAUGUCGAUGACUUCAGUUCCGGCGUGCCUAACAGUGUGACACAUCCCUUUGAUAGCAAACAAAAGCAAAUUUGGUUGUGGCACCUUCGAUUGGGACAUCCGUCUUUCAGUUAUAUGAAGCAUCUUAUACCAGAUUUAUUCUUAGGUUUCAAGGACUCCGACUUCACAUGUGAUACUUGUAUUUUGGCUAACAGUCACCGUGUGCCCUACCUGUUGAGUACGAACAAGUGUACUUGUAAGAUCCCACAUCAACCAACGGAGAGGGGGUGAUGUGCCUUAUAUAUGCACACCUGCAUCCAUCUAGCACGAGGCCUUUUGGGAGCUCACUGGCUUCGGAGUCGUAGGAACUCCGAAGUUAAGCGAGUUGGGGGCUAGAGCAAUCCCAGGAUGGGUGAUCCACUGGGAAGUUGCUCGUGAGCUCCUAGAAACAAAACCGUGAGGGCAGAGAGAGGGGCCCAAAGCGGACAAUAUCGUGCUACGGCGGAGUUGAUCCCGAGAUGUGACAAUUUGGUAUCAGAGCCACUCUGCCGUGUGGUGCGAAUGUGCCGACGAGGACUUCGGGCCCUUAAGGGGGGUGGAUUGUAAGAUCCCACAUCAACCAACGGAGAGGGGGUGAUGUGCCUUAUAUAUGCACACCUGCAUCCAUCUAGCAUGAGACCUUUUGGGAGCUCACUGGCUUCGGAGUUGUAGGAACUCCGACGUUAAGCGAGUUGGGGGCUAGAGCAAUCCCAGGAUGGGUGACCCACUGGGAAGUUGCUCGUGAGUUCCCAGAAACAAAACCGUGAGGGCCAGAGAGGGGGGCCCAAAGCUGAUAAUAUCGUGCUACGGCGGAGCCGAUCCCGGGAUGUGACAAUUGUACUACUCCAUUUACGUUAAUUCACUCUGAUGUCUUGGGACCUUCGCCUAUCACUGCUCCUUCUGGUGUUCGAUGGUUUGUCACAUUCAUCGAUGAUUGUAUACAGAUGACAUGGCUUUAUUUGCUGAAGAAUAAAAACGAAGUGUUUUCCCGUUUUCAGUCCUUCCACAAACAGAUGAAAACUCAGUUUAAUGCUCAAAUCCAGAUUCUUCGCUCAGACAAUGGUGGAGAAUUUGUCAAUCAUGACUUUCAGACUUACUUCCAACAACAUGGAAUUAUCCAUGAGACGACUUGUCCUCAGACACCACAACAAAAUUGUGUUGUUGAACGAAAGAAUUGACAUCUUCUUGAAACCGCCCAAGCACUUCUGAUUGGCGCUCAUGUUCCUCGCUAUCACUGGGAUGAUGCUAUUGUCACCGCAGUUCACCUGAUCAACCGCAUGCCUUCUGGUGUAUUGACCUUUAAAACUCCCUUACAGGUGCUUGCGCAACACAGACCUCUGCUCUCUGUUUUGGUACUCACACCCCGAAUCUUUGGAUGUGUGGCUUUCGUUCAUCUCCACAAAAAUCAACGUAGCAAACUUGAUCCCUGUGCGCUUCGUUGUGUUUUUAUAGGUUAUGCCACUCAUCAGAAAGGCUACCGUUGUUAUCACCCUCCUACCCAACGAACCUAUGUCACUUUGGAUGUGACCUUUCUGGAAUCUGAGUUGUUCUUCCAUGACCCAUCAUCCAAUUCUACGCAUCAGGGGGGGAUACGAAGUGAAGAGCAGAAUUGAAGCAACUUGGGAAAUAAAGAAAUUUUCCUCUGUACAGAAAUGAUUAAUCAUCCUGAGUCUGGAGCACGAGAUUACUCUCUGUCGAAAAGCAACCAAUCGCCCAUUCAUAGCGAUCAAUUGCCUCACCUACCUGAUCCAUGUGAAGAUAUUUUUGAUCCGAGUCUCACACCUACAGACAAUACAGAACAACAAGAUGAAGACUCCCCCUCUAACUCAACAGUACCAACAGACCAAUCUCCUGAGAAUAUCCUUGAGGUAACUACUCCUACUAGAUUUGUGCAUUUAAAUGAUUAAACUAUUGGAUAUCAAUUACCUUUCAGGGAAAAUCGUGGGAAGCCAUCAAACCGUUAUGCACCUGAUAUUGGCAAGACAUCCAAGUAUCCAAUUGCAAAUCAUGUAUCCACUGAGAAGCUGUCUGAACAACUCAAGGCUUUUGUGCAUCAGUUGUCUGCGAUCCAUAUUCCAACCAAGGUCUCUGAAGCAUUAAAAUAUCCUAAGUGGGUCCAAGCUAUAAAAGAGGAGAUGAAAGCUCUUGAGAAAAAUCAGACUUGGACAUUAGAGACUAUACCUCGAGGAAAAAAGACUAUCAGAUGUAGAUGGGUGUUUACUAUAAAACACAAUGUAGAUGGAUCUAUCGAGCAAUACAAGGCAAGACUUGUGGAAAAAGGGUACACACAGACAUAUGGUAUAGACUAUGAAGAAACCUUUGCUCCAGUUGCAAAGUCAAACACCAUCAGAGUCUUAUUGUCCCUUGCAGCUAAUUUGGAUUGGCCACUACACCAGUUUGAUGUAAAGAAUGCUUUUCUACAUGGCGUACUCACGGAGGAGGUGUACAUUUACAUUCCUCCUGGAUAUAAUACUACUUAGACUGGAACAGUUUGCAGGUUACGAAAAGCAUUGUAUGGAUUGAAACAGUCACCACGUGCAUGGUUUGGACAGUUCACCAUGGCAAUGAAGAACAAUGGUUCAAACAGUGCAACUCAGAUCAUACUCUACUCUUGAAACAUCGAAAAGGGAAGGUAACAACAUUAAUAAUCUAUGUUGAUGAUAUGAUUAUUACUGGGAAUGAUAAACAGGAAAUAUCACAGCUACAAGACUAUCUGGCUACGGAGUUUGAGAUGAUGGAUCUAGGUGGACUCAAGUAUUUCUUGGGAAUUGAGGUGGCUCGAUCCCAGCAAGGCAUAUUUCUCUCUCAAAGGAAAUAUGUCUUGGACUUGUUGACAGACACAUGAAUGCUAGAUUGUAAACCUGCGAACACUCAUAUUGUUCAGAAUCAUCAUCUUGGAGAAUAUCAUGAUCAAGUUCCAACUAACAAAGAAAGAUACCAAAGGUUAGUAGGAAGAUUGAUCUAUUUGUCACAUACUUGACCAAACAUUACUUAUGCAAUGAGCGUUGUCAGUCAAUUUAUGCACUCUCCAAGUGAAGACCACACGAAUGCAGUUCUUCGGAUACUUAGAUAUUUGAAGUCUGCACCUGAAAAAGGACUUAUUUUCUGAAAGCAUGGUCAUAUAAAUAUUGAUGGUUAUUCAGAUGUAAUGUAACAGAUAGAAAAUCCACAUCCGGUUACUUAACAUUCAUGGGAGGUAAUUUGGUGACAUGGAGGAGCAAGAAACAGAAUGUAGUAGCUUUAUCCAGUGCAGAAGCCGAGUUCAGAGGCAUGACUAAAGGAAUUUGUGAACUUCUUUGGUUAAGAAAGUUGCUUACUGAACUUGGGUAUAAACCUACAUCCACAAUGAUUCUCUUUUGUGACAACAAGGCUGUUAUAGCCAUUGCACAGAAUCCGGUUCAGCAUGAUCGUACUAAACAUGUUGAGGAGGAUCGACACUUCAUCAAACAGAAGCUUGAGGCUAAAAUGUUUCAGUUUUCUUUUGUGAAAUCCGAGGAUCAAUUGGCGGAUAUUUUGACAAAGGUGAUUUCCAGUAAAACAUUCCACAAUUCACUGGAUCAGUUAGGCAUUGGCGAUAUCUAUGCACCAACGUGAGGGGAAGUGUUGGCGUGACUUGUGGAUAUUGACUUACUUUCCUUACACACCAAGAAUUCCUAUUAUAAUUGUAAUUGAUUUACUUUAAUUCCUGAUUUCCUAUUGUAAAUAGAUUUAGGAAUUUAUUAUUUACUUGCCCAUUCAGGUUUCGUUGUAUUAUAAAUAUGACCUCCUACAAGGAGAAUAACAUACAGAAAAUUCCCACAAACAAAUAUUCUCUUAUAGUUUUCAUAUUUUAGCAAGAACUACUCGAGAGUUUACUAAAAGAGUAGUUCAGUAUUCAUCCACAAGCUAUAUACACAAUACACUCUAUAGAUAUGCCAAAAUCAUCGCAAGCUCUAGAUUUUAGGUUCGAUACCUGCAAAAUCUAUUAGAAGGGUGAGUGAAACCACAGUUUAGUAGGGACAUAAACCUUUUCACGGUAAACUGAUAUAAUUAAAUUAAGUGAAAAAUAAUCACACAGCCAAAUAUCACAUUAUUAAUAACAAUGCAUGAAUGCUCUUCAUUUAACCCGUUAAUUCAUAUAAUUAGACAAGCUUCACGACCCAUACCAUGCUUAUACCACUUAGUCCCGAAUGCCAAUUUAUAUGAAUUAACGCCCAUUUCAAUCAUCCCAUAAUUCCCAUUUUGUUAGUCAUCUUGUCUAACUCCCUGUUGCCAGUCCUGAAUCACCAAAAAAAAAAAACCAUGUGCACUAUGGGAUCCCUGAGUACUAGUACCUGGCAAGAGUUAGACUCAACUACACAAAAGAUCAUUUCUAUUACCCUCUUAUCCACCAUUAUUUUCUCAACUUCAGAAUUCUAGCCAAAUUCCAUGACAUGAUAUAAUUAAAAUUAUGCCUUCACAACAAUGUGCCCAUUUAAAACAUCACUAAUGCACAUAUAAUUAUGCCCACAUUGUUCAAAUAGUUAAGAGUACGUAAAUACCCAAUACAUGGAACGUCAAUCAAACAGUACCACGCAUAAUAUAAUGCUCAAGAAAUUUAAUUAAAUCAAUCUCUGUAAAAGGCCCCUAAGAAACCCCUGCCUUGAUACUAAAGCUUUUGCUAGACCUAUAAGGUGUUUUCCAAUUUUCCACCGCAUUCACAAACUCUGUCUUCUACUUUUUUUCUUACUUCUCUCUACCACUAUUUCUUUCUCGUUUUCUUUGUUUUCACUUGUUGUGCAACUUAAUGUCCUAUAUAUAUACAAGGAACAAGUCGGCAGUAAGUGAUUUCCUAUUGGAUGGUGUAUUCGGUUGUUAUAAACUUACUAGUAAUAGUUAUCAAUGUAGUUGCAGAUGAGGAAGAAUGUUUUUGUGACUCUUCCAAUCCCUCUAAUCCUAUUUCUUAUCUUCUUGGUGAGUUGAUAGCCUCGAUACUUAACAGAUUUUAUACUUUGACACGUAUUAACAAGAACUAUUUUAAAAACAUAUACAUAUAUAUAUAUAUAAUAGAAUAUGUAUAUAUGUAAUACACAUAUUUAUAUAUAAUAAGAAUAAUAUAUAUGUAAUAAGAUAUAAAUAUUUAUUAGAACAGUAUAUAAAAUAAUAUAUAUCAUUCUUAUUAUAACAAUAAUUUUAAUUUUCCCAAAAUAAUAUAUAUUUAAAAAUAUGUGGUUUCACAUGCAUGUCCUUUUUGCUAUAGACACUAUUACAAAAAUCGAAAUAGACAACGGAAAACUACCGUCGUCUGGAAAGUUUUCAAACAGUCGUGAAAUCGACUGUCGUCUCUUUUACAUAAAACAACGACGGCUAUUAACCAACGUCGUUAAUACAUUCCACGUAAAAAACUAUUAUAAACCGACGUGUAAUUACUAUAUAUAUAGCCUAAAAUAAAAUCUUCAACAACCUUAGACGACGGUUUUAUUAAAACUGACACGUCUAAAGAGUGUUACAUGUCAAGAUCAAAACAAGAACCGACGUACAGAUAAUUAUCCACGUCCUAAUUGAAGUAAAAUAGACUUGGAUAACCUAGAAACCGUCGUGGUUAACAUAUACUACGUUAAAUUAACAAAGGCACUUACGUCUAAAAAGUAAAAGACAACACGCGCACAAAGCAACAGACGUUUAAAGCUUAGUACAUGUCAAUAGCCGCUCAAUAACCGCAGUAAAAUGAAUUAACCACGUCCCACAUAUGGCAGAACUGUUGCUUAUGUGAUUAUCCACGUCGCGGAGUAGUAGAACAAAGACGUUGUAACCAUAUUCCACGUCUGUUUCUUGUGAGAAUUGUCGUUUAAAUUAUACAAAGAAGCCCCUUUGACAGAGUUAGACGUUGCUCUUGCUGUAGAACCGACUUCUAACAGGUUUAAAAUGACACAAUAUUACUUAAUACUGCCGUAACAAAUCAUAUCCACGACUGCUGUUGUCAAAGACUGACGUUACAAAAAAUAUUGAAGGUGUUGACAAAAAAGAACCGACAUGGAUUAUGCAUUCAACGUCGUGUGGUCUAAAAAUAAAGGACGUGGUUAAUUUUUUCUCUACGUCAAGUGGAUCCAAUUGCCUGAUGUUGUAAUUCUUUACCAUGUUGGUUUUUAAUACAUGAUGAUGUGGUUGUCCUUUUAAAAGUCGCUUGUUUUACCCUCCUUGACGUGUGUAUGAUAUGAGACGUCAAUUGUUUUAGACUAGCUGACGUGCAGAAAAUCUGUCACGACAAUUAAUGCAACUGAAUUGCCUCUAUUUCCCCCAGACGACGGUAGGUUUUAAGUGUGGAAGUAGUGUUUUACAAAAUCGUAAGUUGGAGUAAUCUACCAUCGUGUUAUUCGAGAAUAUACCACGAUCUUUGUUUUGUACUCGGUCGCUGAUGUUUAUACUACUUAAUAAACUGACAUGUUUUCAGUUUCAGACGGCGGCUUUUGUUUCUUUAUGGUCUUUUGCAUUUUUUUUCCAUGACAUUUUUGAAAGCCUAAUGUUGGUUUUAUUUUAGAAAUCGAUUUUUCCCCUUUUUUUACUGGACCGUCGUACUUUACACAUUUAAUCAAUUUUUUUCAAUUUUUGAUUCAUCGUGCCCAAAGCCUACAUAACGAAAAUGUGAUCAGAAUUAAAAUGAUGUACAAAGGUAUUAAUUAAUGUCAUACAAUUAACUGAAUAACUAAUGUCAUACACUACAACAAUCAAUCAAUCCAUAUAUCUUCACACCCAUCUUUAAUAUUUUCACUCCCAAACUCACCCACUAGGUCAUCAUAUGUGUCAACAUUUGGUAUCCCUCUAGUAAAUGUCUCACACUCAAUUCUAAUAUCACCUAGCACAUCAUCACCAAUAACAUUAUUAUAUUCUCUAUUAUGCAUUGAUAACACUACCGACCAACCACGAUGCAUUGGGUCGUCAGCAUAAAAUACUUGUUUUGGUCAUUCCUAUGUCCAAUUUUACUCAAAUCUACAAAGGUGAAUCCAAGUUCAUCGACAACAAGGCCCAAAGUGUUAUCUAUCCAAUCACACCUCAAGACAAGGAUUCUAAACUUUUGGUAGUCAAGGUCCCAAAUUUCUUGAAUAACACCAUAAAAACCCAUAUUGGAGACAAUAGAGUUUUUAUCCUUAGCACUAGCAACUUGCAUAGUAUGUGCAAGUAAAUAAACUCCACUAUUUUGGACAGUUCGCAUAUCAUCUUGUGCCUUGGUGUUAAAUUUAACACCAUUAAUAAGAUAGCUCCUAUAUGAUGGCAUUGCCAUGCUUGGACUAGCUGCUAGCCACCUCAAAUUUUAUGAUACGCCAUUAUGCUCUUCCCCAUUAAGUUCACUUUGAACUUGCAAAUUAAUCGUAUAUAUCCUAAUUCGAUCUAACAUAUAAAAAGGAAGAAAAUUAAAAGUUGAAUAUGUCAUUCAAUAACAUAUAUACUUGAAAGUGUAGCCAUUGAAUGAAAGUGCUAUUGUGCUUAUCUUGCAGCCACUUUGUUCUCUUUCUAAAUAUUGGAUAAGUGGUCUUGAUGUGGAUCAUAUGUUCCAUACAUUGACACGAAAAAAUCAAGCAUUACGGUCCCUUGUAUAUAAGAUAACAUAAGGAAUAAUAAUAUUUAAAAUGGCUCUAUAUGAAAAAUGGAACUCAUGCGUACUCGAUAUAAGGUAGGACUUCCUCAGUAUUCUCCAAGACAUAUAGAUGUGUCUGGUUCAAAAAACCCGAUCACCUAAGCUUACUGUGCAACCAGAUAAUGGCUUUGAAACUCCCAUCUUCUAGCUUGAAGGCACUCCAACUGUACUAACAUCAGAUAAAUGCUCGGUGCAAAACUCUACAACUUCUUCAGCUAUAUACCGCUCAAUAAUGCAACAUCCGGGACGAGUACGGUUCUGAACAAACCUAUUUAGCACUUUCAUAUGUCUUUCAAAUGGAUACAUCCAUCUAAAAUAUACUGGCCCAUGUAGACGAACUUCUCUGACAAGAUGUACUACUAGAUGAACCAUGAUAUCAAAGAAUGAAGGGGGAAAGUACUUCUCAAGCAAACGCAACGUAACUACUACAUCUUCUUCCAAAUUAUCUAGCUUGGAAACAUCUACUGUCUUUGCACAUAUAGCAUUGAAGAAGAAGCACAAUCGAGUUAUUGCAUACCUUGCAGGCUUCUCCAAACAGAACGAAUUGCCACAGGGAGCAAUUGUUGCAUCAAGGCAUGAAAAUUAUGAGAUUUAAGGCCAAGAAGUCUUGAAUAUUUUUAAGAUACAAGAUUUUUUUAUAUUUGAACAAUAACCUUCAGGGACUUUCAUACCAUAGAAAGAAUUGCAAACCGCUCUCUUAUCUGCUCUUGACAAAUUCUAGGGCCUUGGAGGCAAGCGAGUACGUCUUUCUCAAUACUCGGGUUGCAAAUCAUUUUUGACCCCCAUGUUCAAUAAAUCUAACCGAACAGCAAUCUCAUCUUUAUUUUUUCUAGGGAUCUCCAGCAAUGUACCAAUGAUACUAUCGCAAACAUUCUUCUCAAUAUGCAUAACAUCUUGGACAUGCCUCAUAGGAAGGUAUUUCAAAUACUCGAGAUCAAAGAAUUUUGAUUUCUUAUUCCAACAAACUCUGUCACCAUCAUUCUCAAAAACACUUCCCCCAUUUUUCGAGCCCCAUAUGUAAUUAAUAUCUUCAACCAUGUCCUAUUCAAGUUAAUGGUUCGGGAGGCGUGCCAUAUUCAAGUUUUCCAUUGAAAGCUGCACGCUACCUCCGACAUGGAUGAUUGAUUGGUAACCAUUUUUUAUGACCAAUGUAACAAAUUUUGGGGCCAUUUUCAACCUGUGACUAGGUGUAUCAUCGCCGCAUAUUGGACAAGCUUUAUAUCCUUUAACGACACUGUAACACCCCGACUCUAAAUUAAUCCCUUAUUUAAUUAUUUAAAGAAAAUUACAAAUUUACCCUUAAGAUAGGGGUAUUUUGGUCAUUUUCUUACCCGAAGAGAGUUUGGGGCAGUGACUAGUAUUUUUGGAUAGGUCGUACUGAGACGAGUUCAUAGACACGUAGUGGGCUCGAAUCGAAGUUGUAACGAGAGAGAUAUGGUCAAAAGAAACCCAAUUGCACAAUCAUAAUUAUUUCGAAAUGAGAUUUUUAUAAAAAUCAGAUUUUUUUUUCUCUCUCUCUCUCUCUCCUCGUCGGUCUCUCUCCCUCUCCUCGAAACUCCGGCCAUCGGCCACGGCUGUGGACGGGGCCGGUACCAAAAUGACCGAGGCGUUGUCCUCCUCUAAUCCCAGCUAGGUCCCGCCGUCAGCCGCCAUGGUUUCGCCGGAAAAUGGAGAAGAAGCGGCCGGCGUCGUCCGAAGUUCUCCGCCGUUGAUCUCCCUCUUCCGGUCACCGAUUCCGACGAGUGAGGUAUGGUUUCUCACCUACUUUUCAUGCUCUAGCUGCCUGCUGGGUAUGAUUGGAUUGAUUUUUAGCGUAGGCAAUUCGAUUUUCGCAUUGAAAUUCGGCUAAUUUUGGAAUCACGAUUCCGGCUAGUUCUGGUCAGUUUUUGGGGUAGAUCCAAGAACAAAAGUGGCUCCAAAUAGGGUGUUAUACCUAGGGUAGGAGUUUGGAGCCAUGGUUUUGAGAUUUUCCGGCGAUACGUAAUCGCUUUAGACACCCAACGCUGCCCGCACGUGUGGCAGUGCGUGGGCGAGGGUAGUGAAAUAGCACUAUGUCUCGAUGAGAUCCUUAGGUUGUCACGAGUGCGUAGGAUUUCGCGGAUCUCAAUUCGGACGUCGUUUGACUAUCGAACGGAUUUUCGUAUAUUGCGCGUCAUCCGGGUUCGAUAGGUUGGGACCGUUGGAUGGUCUCGAAUAAAAUAUAUGUUAAUCUAGGUAUUUCUAGGAUCAUGUAGGAAUUCACGGAUUAUAAAUCGGAGCCCCGGAUAUUCCGAAUAAAUAAUUUAAAGUUUAUGUUUUAUAAUAACCGUCACAUCGUGCGAUCGUGAGCGAUCCGACCGGCCGAUCUGGACCAAACUUACAGAACGAGUGUCCUAUACCUUGAAGAACCCAUAGGAAUUUUCAGAUCGAAAUUUGGAGGUCGUGGGCCCCGUGGGCCCAUUUGACUAGGGGUAGGGUAGUUUGACCCUUAGUUGACCGUGAGUCUCCCGGAGUAAUCUCACCUUUCCAGGGGGAUUAUCGGGUGCUAGACUGUUGUUGAGGUUUACACGAUAUUAGUAGUAAAUUAUAUAUUUAUAUACAUUUGUAAAGGUAAAAAAUAAGUCCAGAAUGUCAGUUUGAAGUGCUUUACGCACUACCUUAGGUACCUCCCCGGAUUUUAGUUACACUACAAGUACCACCCUAUGAAAGUUAGGUCCCACGUGGCGUAGGUUAUCCGGCGUGCGGACAGGCCCUAUACGUGGCAUUGGUAGUAUCGGUGUAUGGGGAGAUUACGUGAUAAUAUGUUGAGGUCACACGUGGCGUAGGUUAUCCGGCGUGUUGACAGACCCCAUACGUGGCGUUGGUUGUACCGGCGUAUGAGGAGAUAUUGUGAUAUGAUAUUCAGGUCUCGCGUGGCGUAGGUUAUCCAGCGUUGAGACAGACCCCAUACGUGGCGUUGGUUCUACCGGCGUAUAAGGAGUUUAUGUGAUAUUAUGUUGAAGUCGCGCGUGGCGUAGGUUAUCCGGUGUGUCGACAGACCCCAUACGUGGUGUUGGUUGUACCGGCGUAUGGGGAGAUAUGUGAUAUGAUGUGCAGGUCUCGCGUGGCGUAGGUUAUCCGGCGUUGAGACAGACCCCAUAUGUGGCGUUAGUUGUACCGGCGUAUGGGAAGAUAUUGUGAUAUGAUAUUCAGGUCUCGGGUGGCGUAGGUUAUCCGGCGUGUUGACAGGCCCCAUACGUGGCGUUGGUAGUACCGGUAUAUGGGGAGAUUAUGUGAAAUACAGAGAAAUGAAAUAAGGUAUUGCCUAUGUGUGGAAUUGGGUUUUAAGGAAGAACUACGUGUGGCUUGAUCCCUCAGGGAGGGUACGUAGGCAGCCUAAGGUUAUUAGGUGUAGCCGCGGACAUAGACGUGAUUGUGUUAGGAGGUUAAAACCUCGUAUGUUGAAAUUGAGAAAAUUAGAUGAUGUAUGUUGAAAUUUAGUAGUCGUAAUUUAUAUUUAAAUUUAUCGUUUGCCUUGUUUAAGGCAUGAAUUGAUUUGCUAGCAUGCUUGGUAGUUGAGAAUUAUAGAAAGGCCGAAGGCCGUUUAUGUGAAUUGCAUGGAAUUAUAUUGUGCAUGCUGCCAGUUGUAGUUAUUAAAUGUGUUUUUAUGCAGGUUGAAAUUUUGGGAAAUGUCCAAUUUACAGGGGAGACUCUGCCGAAAUUUCGGCAGAAAGUCUCGGUCUUUAGUAAGUGGGCCUGACAUCGAGGUGAUGUCGGGGAAUCCACAGGAUCCGCCUCGAUUUUUGGAAAAAUCGGGGCGGUUCCUUUCAGACACAACCAGAUAAGUUCUCAUAGGCAGAAAAAUCAUUAAUUGUUCACAGUAAUACACCUAUGAGUGUAAAGUAAUCUCCUAUGUGUGCAUCAUACACUCCUUUAAUCCCAUCCCACAAAGAUUUUAAAUCAUCAAUCAGAGGCUCUAAGUAGACAUCUAUAUCAUUUCCAUUCUAUUUAGGACCAGAAAUCAAUAAGGUCAAUAUCAUGAACUUCCAUUUCAUGCAUAGCCAUGGUGGGAGAUUAUAUGUAACUAAGAUAACCAACAAUUGUAUCUGCUACUUAAAGAACUGUGGGGAUUGAAUCCAUCAGAUGAGAGAGCCAAUCUCAAGUUUCUUGGCUCUUUACUGAACUCGGGCCAUUUAUCAUCAACAAGUUUUUAAGACGGGAAAUUCGCUGGAUGAGACAUAUGACCGUCAAUUGCUUUUCUAGCAACAUGCCAAGUCAAACUCUUAGCUGUCAUAUGUGAUUGAAACAUCCUUUUAAACCUUGGAAUUGGAGGAAAAUACCACACCACCUUCGCUGGCACACUCUUUUUCAAGAUUGAAUCUUUGCAUUCCUUCCACCUUGAGAUACCACAAGUAGGACAAUUAGUUGAAUCUUCAUAAUCAUUCCUAUACAAGAUGCAGUCAUUGGGACAUGCAUGGAUAUUCUCAUAACUCAUCCCUAAAGGAGAUAAUGUCUUUUUUGCCUCGUACAUAGAGGAAUAUAGUGUCUUUCCUUCUGGAAGCAAAUCUCCUUGAAGUAUCAAUAAUUCUAUAAAACAAACAUCACUCAUCCCAUGUUUUGCUUUCAAAUUAUAUAACUUCACCAAAGCCGACAACAUCGUGUACUUACUGCAACCAGGGUACAAGGAUUGAUCUCAAUCCCCAAUCACAUUGGCAAACUCAUAAGGAUCAAAUCCAAUAUCGCCUAAAUCAUUAUCAUCCAUCCCUACUUCUUUAGAAACAAAACUGAACCUACUUUGCUCAUCUUCUUCCACAUUUCUACUAGCAUUAGUAGUCAAUUCCCAAGGUUCUCCGUGCCAUGUGCAAAUCUGAUAGCUUUAGUCAAUUCCAUUAAAGUAUAAGUGGUCCCUCAUAAUUCCAACCCCAAACAAUCGAAUAUUCCCACAUUUAACACAUGGACAACGAAUAUGAGUUGUAUUUCCAAGAUUUUCUACAGCAAAAUUCAAAAAUCCUUCCACCCCUAACUCAUAUGCCUUCGGUCUUCUAUCCGCAUGCAUCCAUGACUUAUCCAUCUCACACACUAUAAAAUCAUAUAUAUAAUAAAGUGAAAAGACCAGCAAUGAAACACUACUUUAUUCACAUAGCAAAGAAUGAAUUGAAAAAAAAAAUUAACCAAGAAUCAGACGACGGUUUUUACAAAAAAAAUCGUCCUGUAACAGAGGGUCAGACGACGGCAUAUCUAGUUAUCGACGUCUUUAAGCUACCCAAACCCAGAUAUUUGUAUUGCUUUUUGAAGAACCGGGUUCUGGGUUCUGGUAAACAAAAGAUGACGGUAAAUGGAGAAACACCGACGUAUCCUAAAACUUGAGACGACGGUUUAUUUCACCAACCGUCGUCGUAGUUUACGAAAAACAGAAGUCUAAAUCUCCCAUCCUCAUUCCUUUUCUAAGAACCCUUAACAAAAUGCAAACAUCAAAAUAUAAAAGAGCCAUAUAUAGCUCCCAAUUAAGAAACCAAAGCUACCAAAACAUAUAUUAAUAAACCAAAGCUACCAAAAUGAACGAAAACAUUUAUGGGUUUUACAAACUAAGAGAAUAUUGAGAGAGAGCUGAGAGAAUAUACUUACAUGGAUAUUGAGAGAGAGCUGAGAGAAUAUAACAAAUGCUUGAGAGAGAGCUUAGAGAAUAUACACAAUGCUUUGAGAGAGAGCGAAAAAUUUAAGACAAAUUUAUGUUGAAGAGAGAGAAGGAAAUAUUUUAGGGUUAAAGGGAAAUUCUGAAAAUUUUAGAUCACCGUCAAAAUUUUCAAAGGACCGCGUUUUUCAAAGACGGCUAAGGAAAACUACCGCCAUUGUAAAUCAUUUUACUACGACGGUUGAGGAAAACUACCGCCAUUGUAAAUCAUUUUUAUGUCGCCUCUAUAAAAACCGACGUCUAAAAUAUUAAAUAAUUAGAUUUGGUUUGCAUUUCGUGGGAUUCUAACGUGCGUAAUUGACCAAAAAGAGCGAGAGAAAACCAGCGUCGUUUCUAUAAAACCUAAACCCUAAACCCUAAACCCUAAACUCUAAAACCUAAACACUGAAAAAAUUAACCAAAAAUUGCUAUGGACUCCUUACAACAAUGCCUUCUAUAUUAGUAGGCUAAAAUCGGGAUUAAAUAAUUUUGAAUUUUAUGACCACCAAUGGAUCACAUAAACCUUAGGGUUAUGUUUAUGGAAAGUAUAAGGAUUAUUGUGUUUUGUCUCUAAAUCUUUUUUACUUUUGUUAUCACUUGUAACUUUGAAAUCUAAAAUUAAAAUUUUCAGGCCUUUAGGGGGGAGAUAUUGUCUCAAUGUGUUUAUAGAAUUUGAGACUGCGAAGGUUCUAGCUGAUUGACUAAGGAUGAGGCAGGAUGGAUGGAAGGUUUGCUUGGAGAUUCUACCUUUGUCAGCUCUUCUGGUUGACAUGUUGUUUAUUCUGCCUGAGGAACUACUUCUAGAUUUUUCCCUUUUCUAGCAGAACUAGUCUCUGGAAGUACUUGUGUGUCAUCCUUAUUCUUGAGGAAGACGCAGUAUUGCCUUUGAACUCUCCUCUUUUGCAUUCUGGUUAGCUUCAGAGUUGGUCUUCGGCUUUUUCCAAUAGAAUAUCAUCUACCUUCUAUGAUAGUUGCAAAGGGCUUGUCAUUUCCAGGCAUCUUAACUGGUAUUUCCUUCUUUGGCUGCUCUAUUAUUCUCUUGUUGCGUUGGGCAGGCCUUAAAUAGUCCUUCUGUCUGGCUCUAUCUCUAGGUGGAGCCGGAACUAGGCCUUGUUGGUAUGAUGUUCCAAUCCUGUCAAAAACACAAGGUGUGGGCUGACUUUGCCUAACCAGAGUUACCUCUAACUCACUUUCACAUUUGCACCUGUUGCACAAAACUACCCCAGCCGAAAUGGUUGCUUUUGGUCUUCAAUUAGCCUAUCUUUGGACUCUUCUGCCUAUGCUGGGGCUAACUUUUGCUGUUAGUUUGCCUUUCUUUUGUUUUGGCCAAUUUAAGUUGACCAUGUUGACUUGAGGUUGGGGAAAAGGGUCUGUUGUUAUCGAAUGAGGUUUCUCAGCCAGUUUUAGCCUCCAUGCUGUUAUUCCUUCCUGUAUGACGUCCCUGAAAACAACACAACUAUUGGUGGAAUGGUCCCAGGAGUUAUGCCAUCUGCAAUACUGUCUGCCCUUGAGUUCCUCUAGCUUGGGCAACUUGUAGGGUGUUUCUAUUGCCUUCUGUCGCAGCAUGUCAUCAAACAGGGCAUCAACCUUGGUUAAAUCGAGGGAAUAGACUUUGUUAUGAGCUGGUUUGUUUGGAACAAACCCUCUUGUGAAUGGUGGUGGCUUUUGGUCCUUUGGUGGCUUUGUUAAAGCCUUGCAACUGAUGAGAUGUUUUAAUUUCCCCAUUUCUGCCACUGCAACUUCUCUCUCCUCCGAGCUUUCUAUGCCUUCUUCUGAUUCUACCUCAACAAGAUUUACUGAAGAGGAUGGGGUUUUGUAAUAUGUGCCUUUGAAAGAGUUCCUCUUCUAUUGUUCUUCCCUGAGCAGCUCCUUGUAUUUAGAUGCUUUGUCUGCUAGUUCUGCCAGAUCUCCAAACAGCAUCCCAUCAAAUUUUUUUCUCAGAGAGAUUUUAAGGGAGAUUUGAGCCAUUUGGAUGAAGUGCCCUUCCUCCAUAGGGAUUCAAAAUUUCAUUUUGAGCUUUUUGAACCUGGUUAUGAAGUCUUGGGCAGGCUCAUCUUCCCUCUAUUUCCAGGUUUGAGGGCAGCAAGAUCACUGAUGGUGACUUCUGGCUGAAUCCUAAAAUAGUAGUCAUGGAAGACAUUUUCCAUCUAUUUCCAGGUUUGAACAGAAUUGGCUGGUAAGCUAGUAUAUUAGAUGAAGGCUUGUCCAGAGAGAGAAUUUCGAAAAAGCCUUAGUUUUAACAGAAGGUUAUUUUCUAUGGCUAUGCACUGGAAAGAGAAUCUGCCUAUAUGCUUAACUGAUGAAGCAUGGGUGUCUUCUCCGUUGAACAAGGUGAAGUGUGGUACCUUAAAGCCCAGGGAUAGAGGUAUUUGAUCGAUAUAAGCUGGAUAAGGCUUUCUGUAGGUGGGCCUUUCUCCUCUUCUGGCCUCAGGUUCCAUCAUCUCUCUGAUCAUUCUAUAAAGUGCCCCCAUGUCAUUCAAAGCAUUGACAUGAUGCGGGGUUCGCCCCUGUUCUGGCUAGUUGUGUUCAAUCCUUUGUUCUACUUUAUAUGGCCUGGGCAGAACUUCCUCCCUAUGCUCUUCCUCUUUUUCGAAAUCUGGAUGAUUCCUUUAGUUUGCCCCCGGUCUGUUUUUGUCAUUGUUGGCAAAGGGUUUAACUCCUACUCUACCUCUCAUGCCACUUGCUAGUGGAGGGAAUGGAUUGGGGUCCAUCCUUCUAGGUCUGUAGGGCAACACAACUGGUUGCUCAGGCAGAAGUGCCAAGGCCUGAUCACGUGGGGCCACUAGUUGUGGAAUAGGUGGAGGUUCUGGCUAGUUCUGAGGGGGUCUGAACUGGUGCAGAGCCUUCUGGAUGAACUGAAUCCUCAUGUUCUUGGAUGGGAAGGGCUCCUCCCCUCUGUCCAGCUUGGAUUUCUCCAUGUCCUGGUAUUCCAGCUAUCUGUGUGAUGAGAGGCUUCUCUUCAUAUGGCCAUGCCAGUCCUGGUAGAGGUCCAAAAGGGAGAUCUAGCUGCUGGACCACCAUGUCUAGGUUUGGAAUUUUGGCAAUAGUAGCCUCACGGUCCUUCCUGAACUGCCUGUUGACUUGCCAUUACAUCAUGGUUGUCAUGUUGUUUAGAGUAUCUUGGCUCAUUUGUGCUGUGGCUUCUUGCCGAAACACAGCCUCCUGUAUCUAGUUUAACCUUCUGGAACCAGACAUGGAACGUCUACUCGUGGUACUGCCAUGGGCUGAUUACCUAGCAUCACUUUCUUUUGACUCAAGUCCUUUUCGGAGAGCUGCUUGAUCUCUUUUCAUGGCAUAGCGUGGAUUCUGGCUAGAACUUCCAAUAUUCAUAUACUAGAGGAUUUUUCUAGAAAUAUAUGUAUUGAGAAGUCCCACUGGGCGUGCCAAAUUGUUCAUCCGUUUUAGAUUUGUUCCUGUGAUGGUAGGGUAAAGUUCCUCAUUGACUUGAAAACCAUUGGUGGUCAAUAAGUCAACUUUCUUUUGUGUACAAAUGUGCCACUGCUAGCAAUAAAAACCCUAGCAGACUUCUUAAAAAUAGAAAACUUGUGCCCAAGUUAUUAACUUCUAAAUAAGCGAUUGUGAAUUUGGGCGAGGAAUAUCUCCCAAGUAAGUUCUUUUCUUUGCCUCAGAUUGGUGAGGACUUCACAAUUUUUCACAGUACAAAACUGGUAGUUCUAGCUAGAAUAAAUGAUAAGAAAGUGAACUGUUUUCAGGCAGAACUACCUUUUACAAAGCUUAAAAAGGAAGACCAACUCUAAAAAGACAAAAAGAGCUUUUGGACUUCAAUUUCUGCUUGGAUAAAUGCUUCUGAUCCGGGCUGGACUGGGUAUGUUUGUGCUGGACUGGACUAUCAACACCUUCAACUGUCAAGUUUUAGCUGUCAAUGAAUACCAAUGUUCGAGUGUGGCAAAGCUUCAAUCUAUUUCAAGCCGUGCAAGGCUUUUUGAACGGACAGAAUUGGAACCUCUUCAGUCUGGAAGGGGUAGAAGUGGCUGAAUUUGGUGAUUACUGAGCUGGAACUGCACUGUAGUACCUGUUCUGCUUGAUCAGGGCUCUCCAUAAAUUUGUUGAGGUUUUAAUAUUGGUAAAACCCGAAGCUUAUGUUGAACCAACUUUGUAACGAGAGAAAUCUUGCUUUGAAUGACUAUUUCUCUGAAACUAAACAGAAGUUAGAGAUUCUGGAAUAUAGCUGACUUGUUUCUUAUGGCUCAAUGAGCUUUUGGUUGCUUCAGUGUUUUGAAGGCUUUUGAGAUCAAGUGAUCAUUUUGAGUUUUUAUUUUUGAUUGAUUUUUUGGCUGUCCUUUUAUCUGUUCACCUCAUCUCAUAUUUAUAGAAUAUACUGGAGUGUGAUUUCUAAUCUUUUAAUAAUGGGCGGCAAAUCUUUUAAAAGAUCUUUUUUUCUUUUUUCAAUGUCAUAAGAGAAGGAAGCUACUAUUCUGACAGAGAAAGGUUGUCAACAAUCAUCUUUCAAUUUUUCUAUGUUCACUUUUUGUUCUUUGUAAAGAGAAAGAACACAAUCUACCAUGAUGGUCAGUGUGCUUUUCCUGUUGAACAACUCCCUCGUUCUCUACUUAUCUCUUGAAAACGUAGUCUGCUUAUCUCUUGGAAAGACCACCUGAUUUGGUGCAGAGCUUCUCUAUAUAUAUAUAUAUAUAAAGGGAUUUUGAUCUUCUUCUUUUGGCUGAAAAAAUAGAGAAGUCUUUCUGUAAGACCUGCCUUCAUUAAUUUUCUAUCAACUUCUCUGUAAUAGUUGAAAAUUUUGACUUUUCAAAGCCAGGUAUUCACGUGGGGUUGUUUAGAAAAGAUCUGUUGAUUUUGUCAAUCUUUUAGGGUAGAGAUUAAAUAGCGUAAAAAGGCUGGGCUAGUCUCUUUUUCUUAGUAGAUAAAAAGCCCAAAUAUUUUGUCUCACUGCCCUUUUCUGGAAAAUAAAUGGGCUGGGUGUGUUGGAAAUUGGCCCAAUCUUAAGAAAGACUCUGGUGGCUGCCCAAAAUUGACAUAGGCUUUUCUUGAUUUUGGGCUGGGCAUGCCAAAUUAGGCCCAAACAAUGCCCCUUAAGUCUGAAUUGUUUUUGGAAUAGUUUCAGACUUAAUGAUUUGGCCAUUAAUUUGUGCGCGCCAUUUCCUUCUGUUAGCCCACAUCUGCCACGUCUGCCUAUUAUGAUCAAGACUUCGUGGGAAAGUGGGCAGUUACUAGCUAGUUAUUAUCAGGUGGCGUCUUGUCUUCUUCUUCCCACGAUUUCGAGUCUUUCUAAGAAAUUUAAAAAGACCUCAGCUCCUGUUUACUCAAAACCUAACUUCUUCAGACCUUGAUUUUCCUCAGUUUUCUCAGAAUUUUUACCCUUUUCUGCGAUCAAACCCUGCUUCCUUUCAGUUUGAUUCCCCUAUCCUAGCUCAAAACCCGAAAAUGUCUUCUCCAAAAAAUCGUGCCCAGACUUCUUCUUAUUCUGUUCCUCCUACCUACAUUACUGGGGCCGGUGUUGAUAAGCAUGUGAUUGAAGUCCGGAGCAAGCUUCAUCCUUUUGCCCAGAACGUUCUGGACAAGAACGUGUUACAUUUGUUCGAGAACACUCUUGUUUUGGAGCCUCAUCGGUUUGGUUCUGUCCCGACUGAAAUGGCAGAAUUGUUUAAAGAAUAUACUGAAGCUCCUCUAUGCUUUCAGAGCUCUUUCGUAGAUUUCAGUUUUAUAUAUAAACUAUCGUGUUUCUCCCUAUAACAUGUCGUUUUUAAGAAUUGUUGUCAAUGUUUUAUUUCCUGCUACUAUAAGACGGCGAUUAUUUAUACAUAUGAGACGUGUAAAUUAGAAUGAGACGUCAGUCUUUGGGAUUUAAAUUAAGUUUUUACGAUUUAAUGUCAUUUUAGUUCAUAUAAGGACAUAAAUGUCCUAACCAAAAAUAUAUUUAUGUACAUUGUCAAUAAAUUAAAAUAAACCUAAACAUUGUUAAAAUAAAUUAGAUCACUUAUUAUUCUGUAAUUACUUGUUAACGAAUUCAGCCCAUUCCAACCUGACUUCGUCAAUAUGUUCUUAUACAUACUGAACUGGUUCCUUUUUCUUAUCAAACUGCAAAUAAAUAACAAAAACCAACGUGUUAUAAAGAUUACAACGACUGCUUUUAAAGAAAAAGUUGUGGUACUAAAAUAAAGAAUUUAUAUCUUAAGUUUUGCCUUUUACCUUCUUCUCAAAUGCUAGGCCUGGAUCAUGAAUUAUAUCUCUCAUGAAAUGCAUCACGUAAUAGCCACACUCUACAUUUGUUGGUUGUCGAGGAGUGCCAUGUAGAUUUUUCCAUAUGACUGAUUUACAUGAUGAUUAAUUGCCUGUGUGAGAGUUAUACAUUUUGAUUGAACUGUUUCAAGAAAAUGAAAAGUGUUAAUGAUAAAAAUAAAAAUCUAAAGCAAAAAUAUUAAACGUCGUGGUAAAUAAGUGAAGACGAUGGUUUUGUUAAAAAAGUGAUGUUGUAUUUCAUUUCAAACGUUGGUAAAUAAAAACCGUCGUUGUGUAGAAUUCUAACGUCGGUGACGAUGAAAAAUGACGUAUAACCAAAAAUUGUUUGUAAAUGAAAGUUGAACAGAAAAAAAUAAAACUUCCUUAAAUGAAAAACACAAACGACGUGGUAUUUCAAUUAAAAUGACGGUUUACAGAAAAUACUGACGUUGUAAAUGAUUUCAAACAUCGGUUUGAAGUUACCAUCGUGUUUUCAUUGUAACGUCGGUAUUAGAAAAAGCCGUAUAUCAUUCAAAUGCAAAUAAAAAAAUGUUAGAUUUUCAUAGAUAAACUUACAUAUUCACUAUAUUUCUCAUGUCCUCGUCAACAACGCGGUUUGGCAAUGAAUCCAUGUAAUAGAUAGUCUCCUUCGCUGGUCUCACAAUUAUUAACACCCAAUGACCCCUACACAUAAUGAUCCAUAUAGGUUAAAUAUACUAGAAAGAAAAAUAGGCAUCAAGUAUAGUUAAGGGGACUAACCUUGGAUUACAAGGCACCAUGUAAAAUUGAUCCCCAUUUGCGUUUUUCAGGCGGUCUGAGAGAUGUUUCAAACGGUAAGAUAACGUUCCAGAUUGAGAGCUGACUUGUCCAAGGUCCACGAAGCCAAUAAGGUUUACCAUAUUUUCUAUUUUUAAAUAGUCAAAUAGGCACCUAAAUAUAUGAAAUUCAAUUAAAUGAGAUUUUAACUUUAAAGAAAGGAAAUGUAUAAUGCAAUCACUGUGGAUCCAAUCUCAACCAUGGAAGGAAAUUGUAAAAUAUCUUCACACAAGAGGAAGGUAUCAUGGUUAAUGCCAAAGGCUUCCUCUGGAAUGUGAAUUCUAAUGGUCUCGUUAAUGGGCUUCAACUUGGUCUCGACAAAUUGAAAUAAGGCUAACAGAGGAGGUGGCAUGUCUAGCUUUGAGAGAUCCUGUUACAACAAAUAAAUAAAGAAAUAUAAGUUAGUUUGUACACUAAGUAAAAUAAACGACUCUAACUAAACCAAUCAAACCGACGUGGUAUAUAAUAUAAUCGACAGUUUCUAGAACAUACUGAAGGAGUAAAGGUUAUAGACGACGGUAAAGACAUAACCAUCGUUAUGUAAAUGUUCUAACGUCGCUGCAUUAUGGAAAGGUCGUCUAAUUAAAAUGCAGUGAAGCCUUUAUUGAAAUACACGACAGUUUAUAAAAUAAACACCGACGUAGUAAAAUACUGAGACGACGGUUAUCAGCAACGUCUAUUUGAAAUUAUAAAUCAGAAAAAAUCAAAUAUCAAAGAUUUUACCGUUUCAUCUUGCCAUUGUUUAGCAACAUCAGCAUCAUUCGUGGGAUUUUCUUCCUCCAAAACAAGGGGUCUCACAUUAGAGCAGCUUGCUUUGUCAGACAUUAGAUUUUUUGGAGUAAUUGGAGUUUUAUUGAGCAAGUUGGGAUCACAGUUGGGAAUUAGUUGACUGAAUUGUUUCAAUAAAAUUUCCCUCUCUGCUCUGACUGCCUCCAAAACAGUUUCUUUUGCCUUAGCUUUAAUCUUUUUGGUUUCUUCUCUCACUGCCUCCAUAACACUUUCCUUCAAUUUGUUAGCAAAUUUUACUCUCUGCUGUCUCGACAAAUUGAAGAAUUGAGUUGGGGAAACCCCAGCUCCAACACCUCUAACUCUCCCACCAUGCUCAGGGGUUCCCAAAGCCAAGGUCAAAAUAUCGUUGCUCUCAGAGACAGCAGAGUGCCCUCGGAAACUUGUUUUUUCAAAUCAUCCUAAAAGUGAGAGAGAGAGAGAGAGAAUGUUAGUGAGUGAACAGAUAGUAAAACAGAUUAAAUAAACAACUAUACAAAAAUAUUAACCGACGUGGUAAAGACUUUAAAAAACUGAAAUCAAUCCCCAAUAGUAACAGGGACCAUGCAGCAACGAUUUGGUUGACAGUAGUAUAGGUUGGAGAUGCUGUUGAUCAUUAGAUACUAUUUUUUUAAAUAUCAAUUCUGUAACAUCCAGACCUAAAAAAUUAAUGAUUUUGAUUUAAAAUUAAAUUUAAAUAAGCAAUUACGAAUUUACCCUUGGGGAAGGGGUAUUUUGGUAUUUUUUUUUUAUUCAGAAAGAGUUUGGGGCAGUGACUAGUAUUUUUGGGUAGAUCGUACUGAGACGAAUCCGUAGACACGCGGUAGGCCUGAAUCGGAGUUGUAACGAAGAAACGGUGACCAAAAUUAGUCCAGUGGCAAACUUGUAAAUAUUUUGAACUUGGGUGUAGAAAAAUCUGAAACUGGCUUCCUCUCUCCUGCGUGCACACGUCCUUCUCUCUCUCUCCUCUCUCUCUCCUCGAUACCAUCACUCUCUGUCUCUCUCUUCGAUUCUCUCAAUUCUGGCCACGGCAAGGGCCGGGACUGGUUCCGAUCAACUCCUCACAAAGCCCCGAACCAGAACCACCACUUUUCUUGGCCGGAAAGCUCGAGUUUCGCGUGGUAAUCUCGACUGGUUUGAACCAGUUUUCCUCCGUCAUUGUGCCGCCGCCAUCGCAGCCCAAUCUCGGUUAAACAAGUGAGGUUUCUUACUCUUUUUCCGAGCUCUAGCUGCCUGUUGGGUAGGAUUGGAUUGAUUUUUUGUCUAGGAUCCCGAUUUUGAAACCUAAGUUUUGACGAAUUUCAAAGUGAAAUUCCGGCCGGUUGCCGUCCUAAUUAGACCUCCCCGUAGUUGAAUAAAGUGAUCCUCGCUUCGAGUAGUAGCUAAGGUAGGAAUGGUGAAUUGCGGUGUGGAGUUUUUCCAUCACUGAAAAUUACUCUACACAUCCACGCGUUGCCAGGGCAUGUGGAGGCGCAUGGGCAAUGUGGUGAGACCACAUUUUAUCCUGAUGUAGUCUCCUAGUCCUCACGUGCGCGUAAGUGUGCUCGAAUUUCAAUUCGAAUGUUGUUUGACUAUCGAACGGAUUUAUGCAUAUUGUUUCUUAUCCGGGUUCAAUAUGUUCGGACCAUUGGAUCGAGUCCAAAUUUACGUAUGUUAAUCUAGGCACCCCUAGGAUCAUGUGCGAAUUCGCGGAUCGUGAAUCGGAGCCCCGAAUGUUCCGAUUCAAUAAUUUGAAGUUUAUGGUUUGCGAUAACCGUCAAUUUCUGACCAAACCUACAGGACGUGUUUCCUAAACCCGUAGUCGGACCUUAGAAUACUCGUUAUGCGUGCACGCACCGGGAACUUGAGAAAAUUAGUAUUUAAUUUGUAAAUUCCGUUUUGAAGUGAUUUUUUAUUAAUUAAGGGUGCGUAUCUCGAAAUAGGUGCUCCAUCACUAGCACGCAGCAGGUAGGACCCUCUUGAGGUCAGGCAGUGUGGGACUACUUGUGAGUGGACAUUUAUUUUAUAUAUGCAUUAUUUUCAAUGAUUGAAAGAAUAUGCAUGAAAUAUAUAUAUUUUUUGGAAUAAAGAUUGAGAAAUUCAUAUGUUGUUAUAUCAGUAUUAUUUAAUUUAGAAUUUGGUUUGAUUUGAUGAUGAGUUAUAUAAAGGUCAAGUUAUUCGUGAUUAAGUCUUGGAUGAAUUUUGGGGGAAUCGGGAAUUGAAUAUUAUGGUUUAUGGUGGGAACUUAUAUGAUUACACUGUGUGGAGUACCAUCCCCUAGUUACUAGGCUUCCCACAUGUGGCGUUGGAAAUUUUCCAGCGUGUGAUGAUGUAGUCUGCACGCAUAGGACUUAGUAUUGGAGCUACACGUGGCGUUGGAAUUUCCGGCAUGUAAGCUAUGGAGUUUCGUCCCCCGGUUGGACCGCUCAUCCCUAGACGCAGGAUAGCAACUGAAAAUCUUGCGGGUUAGCCAAACAAUCCCCCGGUUGGAUUGUUUCCCCGGUACCUAAGUAGUGUGAUAAAUAUUAUGUAUAUUUAUAGAUAUAUAUAUUUCUAUGUGUGUGUGUGUGUGUGUGUGUGUGUGUGUGUGAGUAUAAAUCAGUUAAAGUAUAUGUAGUGGUUGGGUAAGAGCAGUAUAAAUUUUGGGGAUAAAGUUUAUGGAUAGAGUGAUUGAUCUCAAAGGGUUUCGGAGAAUGAUGUUUUUGAUCAUUAAAUAAAAGUUAUGAAUCUGCAUGUCUUGAGCAUUAUUUUUAGACGGUGGGGUUAUUAUGUUGUUUUGAAUGCAAAUUUUGUUUUUCCACUCACAUGUUUUCUGUUUUGCGCCCCCCAAACAGUAGUCGCUCAAGGGAGAGUUGCAAGCCAUGUUCGAGGCCCCGAACUGUGAACAUCAGUAGAUUAGGUUUCGAGUAAUUUCUUUCUACUCAACUGGAUGUUCUUGUAAACUAAAUUCGUUAGAUGCUCUAUUAUUGCCCCUGUUAGGUUUUACUUGUGAGGCCAGAGGCCAUUUAGUUUAUACUGUUGAAUAAUAAAUGCAUGCUGCUGGUUGGGAUUAUAUUGUGCUUAUGCAGGUUGAAAUUUUUGGGAUUGUUCAAUUUACAUGGGAGACUCUAGCAAAAUUUUAGUAGAGAGUCUCGGUUUUUAAUAAGUGGGCCAGGCAUCGGGGUAAUGUCGGAAAUAAGACUGGAUUCGUCCCGGUUUCCGAAGAAUUCGAGGCGGGUCCUGUCAAGUUCCUCCUAUUAACAAUAAUAAAUUAAAUAUUUAUAUAACUGAUAACAGUUCCUCAUAUUAACAAUAAUAAAUUAGUAUUUUGUAUAAUAAACAUGUUUAAUGAAAUUCAUCUUCUUCUAGCAUGUUUAUUUAAAUUCUAAGUUUUCUGAAGAAAAAAAAAAAAAAAAAGGAGAAGGAAAUGUCCUAAAUUAAAUCUUAAAAGUUCAUUUUUUUCUGUCCCUAUAUAUUUUUUACCCAAUUAUAAUUUGAGAAAAAAAGGUGAAUUAACUGUCAUUUCACCUUCAUCAUUUUCAUGAUUUAUAUAAGAUUCUUCAAAGAUCAUUUCCACAAAAAAUUACUUAAAUUCGAAUCCAUUUAACCGUCUAAUUAAAUCGUUAGGACCGUUGAAAUAAAAUUUAAAGUGAGUUUAAAGUGAGUCCUACUAUGUCUCCCUCAAAUAAGAUCAUUUACAGGAUCUGUCGAGUCAUAUGAGAAUGUUUAGCUUUUCGAUCCCAAGAGUUUGGUUCGAUUUUCAUAUAUAUAUAUAUAUAUAUAUAUAUAUAUACAAGUCAAUUUACUUUAAAAAGUUCACCAAAUUUUAUUUUUGGUCUCGGUAGUUUGCUUGAGGGCCUUUUUCUGUCAAUCUAUUUGUUGUGAUUGAAAGAUUUUAUAUAAAACAAAAGAUAUGUUUUUAUCUUAAAAAAUGCUUAUUUUCAGAUCUUUACAUAUAGACAUACAUAUGGCCUGAGAAUUCAAGCAAUAAAGACAUAAGCUGAUGAGCAUUCAUAAUCAUUAGAAUGAGUACUGAAUGGUCAACUCUUUCAAAAUACUUCGGAAAAAAACAAAGGACAAUACUUCCUUCCUUACUCAUAAGAAGGAACUCCUUCUCACCUUCUAUUGUCCCUCAACCACAAAGUAACAAGUGUUCUCUUUUUUUAAUUGUCAAUUUUUUUUUUUUCACUUUUACUGAACCCCUAGCUUUUUACCAAAGCAAAAAACACAAAACAAUAUUCCCAUUGUUUUUUUUUUUCAUUUUGAUUUUUUUCUCAACUUUUUGAAAAAUAACAUUUUUCCUUCUUCAGUAAAAAAUUGAAGUCUUUGUGGUUAAAAGCUAAGGUUUCAGUAAAGGUUUAAAAUAAAUAAAAAGUUUUGACAAUUCAAAAAACAGAACACAUAUCACUUUGUGGUUGAGCCGCAAUAGAAAGUAAGAAAGAAUUCCACCUUACCCAUAAGGAGGGAAGUAUUGUCAAAAAGAAAACAUCUUAAAAAACACACAGAAAACCCACCAUCACUACUUAAAAGAAGUAGAGAAGUCCAACAUUCUGAUUUUUAUACACCUACGUGACGUGAGCAUUCAAUAAUCAUCCUACACAUAUGUUGAUGUGAGCAUUCAAAAUCAUUAGAAUGAUUUAAUUGAAGACUCAACGUACGGACGUCUUUUUCACUUAGAUUCCCUUCCUGUACAAACUUGAAUCAGUUCCUCCACGACCCCAUCAAUCUCUUCAUCCUCUUUCUUGUUCACGUUGUCGCUUAUUUUCAAUGCCUUUUUUCUCACUCCCUCUCCAAAUUUCUCCACAACCACAUCUCUAAUCACCUUUGCGACCUCUUCUCUUUGCAAACUUCCUUCACCUGUUCUCUUAACCUCCACACCAACACCCACCUCCUCCACUAGUCUAGCGUUGAUCGGCUGGUCAAGAUGCAUAGGCAUGGCUAUAAUUGGAACACCAAACUUGAUGCUCUCCAACACUGAGUUCCAUCCGCAGUGACUCACAAACCCCCCAACACUAGAAUGCUGCAGUAUCUUUGCCUGUGGGGCCCAACCCUCCAUUAUCACUCCCUUCUCUCCCACCCUCUGUAAAAACCCUUCUGGUAACACCUCUUCAACCCUAGUACUUCUCUCCUCCUUAGAAAAUCUUAUAACCCAAAUGAAGCUCACUUUGCUAAGCUCUAAUCCGUGAGCUAUCUCUUCUAUUUGCUCCUUGGACAGAAAGUACUCACUGCCAAAGCAAACAUACACAACAGAAGACCUUUCCAUUUUGUUCAGCCAUUUCAUGAUCCAUGUUUCCUCAUCAACUUUUUGAUCCAUUGGCUCUUGAACAAGCGUGCCAACAGGCACGAUCUUCUUCCCCGUUAAAUCAGAGAGAUAAUCAAUAUAUUUUUCUUCAAUCUCGCUGGAUGUCUUGACCAAAAUGAUGUUACAAGAUCGAGCACUGCAUUGCUGAACACGGUCUCCGUCUUUGAUGCCAUUUGCUGAAGAUUCCAACAAAUUGUUGAACUUUUCAGCUUCGUAAUGUUGAAGAUAAAUCGAAGGAAAAGGAAACUUGACACUAGGGUUCUUGAGAUGUUGAAUACUAAAUGAAGUAAAGGCAGCACCCAUGGUGGUGAAUUCAAUGGAUGGAAAAUUUUGCAAUGAAGCUAGAGAGGGCGCCCAUGGUUGAAGAACAUCAUAUAUGAGCAAAUCUGGACUUAGGGUUUUGAGGAUGUUGGAGAAGUUGUUGCUGGACAUGCUGAAAGCCGUUUUGAGAGUGGACAUGAGAUGGGGAGGGAGGCCAUUGGUGGUGUGGUAGUGCGGUGGGAGUUCAGGCAAGUCAUCAUGUGGAAGAUGGAGUUCCACAAAUUCAAUGCAAUGAGAAUAUUUUUGGGAGAGUUUAGGCUUGAUGGAGCUGAGAUUUACAGGCGUGGAACAAAUAAAGAUGUGAAAAUUUCUCUUGGUGGUCAGCUUCUUGGCUAGCUCUAGGUAGGGAGAUAUAUGGCCGUGAGCUAGCCAUGGAAGCAAAAGAAUAGUAAGGCUUCUUUGGUCAGAGAAAACCAUAUUUUGUUUUCCUUUGACUUGUUUUCCUUUGACUCUUUUGCUUGAGGUUGCUCGAUUAUAGGCUUAUUGGUAGUUUGUUUGUGGCUAGCUCUAUGCAUAUAUAUAUAUAUAUAUAUAUAUAUAUAUAUAUAUAUAUACACACACAAAAACGCGUGAUGAUUGGAACAUGCACACGUAAGUUCCAGAGAGUGAUGAUUGGCCUAUGAUAAAGACUCGAAACAAGAAUAGUUUAAAUUUUCUUCUUUGUUUGGCUUGAUAUAAGACGAAUGCACCAAACAAACCGACUAAAUGCCGACACAAUAAUUAGGUACGUAAUAAUAUCAACUUUCAUUAUAUAGAUCUGAGAAACAAAAAGUUGAACUUUGAUGACAAGCGAUAUUAAGGAAGGGCACAAUCGAACUUAGGAUCUCGAAUGUUGAAGUACAUG
rnacentral:lncRNA from 1 species